AUUGAACGCUGGCGGCAGGCCUAACACAUGCAAGUCGAACGAGUGGCGGACGGGUGAGUAAUGUCUGGGAAACUGCCUGAUGGCGGGGGAUAACUACUGGAAACGGUAGCUAAUACCGCAUACCAUCGGAUGUGCCCAGAGGGGAUUAGCUAGUGGGUGGGGUAAAGGCUCCCCUAGGCGACGAUCCCUAGCUGGUCGGAGAGGAUGAACGGACACACUGGAACGGAGACACGGUCCAGACUCCUACGGGAGGCAGCAGUGGGGAAUAGUGAACAAUGGGCGCAAGCCUGAUGCAGCCAUGCCGCGGGUAUGAAGAAGGCCUUCGGGUUGUAAAGUACUUUCAGCGGGGAGGCGUUACCCGCAGAAGAAGCACCGGCUAACUCCGUGCCAGCAGCCGCGGUAAUAC
rnacentral:rRNA from 1 species